rnacentral:ncRNA from 1 species
CGGCGGGAGAGCUCCCGUCGGCCGCCCCCGGGUGGUCGUGCGGGGCGCCGAAGGAGCAAGUUCCCCUCCGAAUCUCUCAGGCACCCGUACCGCCGU